UCCGAGGUCGUCUAAUGGUAGGACUGAUGGUUCUGGUCCAUCCAAUCGGGGUUCGAAUCCCUGCCUCGGAA
rnacentral:tRNA from 1 species